GACCUGGUAAUGUAGUGGCAACACGGCCGCUGCAAAUUGCAGCACAGUAUGCCGGAAUCCCCUGUUCGAUUCGGGGCCAAGUCC